rnacentral:rRNA from 1 species
AGAGUUUGAUUCUGGCUCAGGAUGAACGCUAGCGGCAGGCUUAACACAUGCAAGUCGGGCGGCAGCGGGGUGGGAGCUUGCUCCCACUGCCGGCGAGCGGCGCACGGGUGAGUAACACGUAUGCAACCUGCCCCUGUCAGGGGGACAACCCGCCGAAAGGCGGGCUAAGCCCGCGUAUAUCGCCCCGGGGCAUCCCGGGGGGAGGAAAGGAGCGAUCCGGACAGGGAUGGGCAUGCGGCGCAUUAGCUGGUCGGCGGGGUAACGGCCCACCGAGGCGACGAUGCGUAGGGGUUCUGAGAGGAAGGCCCCCCACACUGGUACUGAGACACGGACCAGACUCCUACGGGAGGCAGCAGUGAGGAAUAUUGGUCAAUGGGCGGGAGCCUGAACCAGCCAAGCCGCGUGAGGGAAGAAGGUACAGCGUAUCGUAAACCUCUUUUGUCAGGGAACAAAGGCGGGGACUAGUCCCCGGAUGAGGGUACCUGAAGAAAAAGCAUCGGCUAACUCCGUGCCAGCAGCCGCGGUAAUA